rnacentral:rRNA from 1 species
UACGGGGGGGAGCAAGCGUUGUUCGGAUUUACUGGGCGUAAAGGGCGCGUAGGCGGUCGUGACAAGUCACUUGUGAAAUCUCCGGGCUUAACCCGGAGCGGCCAAGUGAUACUGUCGUGCUAGAGUGCGGAAGGGGCUACUGGAAUUCUCGGUGUAGCGGUGAAAUGCGUAGAUAUCGAGAGGAACACCUGCGGCGAAGGCGGGUAGCUGGGCUGAUACUGACGCUGAGGCGCGAAAGCCAGGGGAGCGAACGGG